rnacentral:rRNA from 1 species
AUGCGGCAGAUCUCGUCCAUGCUGCAGGGGCUGGCCCGCUCCAUGUCUCUGGGAAAGGAGAGGAAGGAGGCGGAGGAGCCGCAGGGGACGGUGCUGCGCUCGUCGGGGACGCUCUGGGGCGAGGGCUCCGAGACCUUCGCCGCCGCGUGCUCCCGCCGCGGCGAGAAGGGCACCAACCAGGACACCUCCAUCGUCUGGGAGGGAUACGGGUGCCAGGACGACACCAUCUUCUGCGGCGUCUUCGACGGCCACGGCCAGUGGGGCCACUACGUCGCCAAGGCCGUCCGGGAGUCGCUGCCGCAGCAGCUGCUGUGCCGCUGGCAGGAGGCCGUCGCGCUGACGUCGCUCAUCGACGGCGAGAAGAGGCUCGGCGACUGCCAGUUCGACCUCCUGAGGCAGUCCUACCUGGCAGCCGCCGCCGCCGUGGACGAGGAGCUCCGCCGAAGCCGGCGCCUCGACGCCGUCAACAGCGGUUGCACGGCUCUGUCCAUCGUCAAGCAGGGCGACCUGAUGGUAGUCGCCAACGUCGGCGACUCGCGGGCCGUCCUUGCGACCACAUCGGACGACGGGGACGUCACGGCCGUCCAGCUCACCGUCGACUUCAAGCCCGACUUACCCCAGGAGAAGGCGCGCAUCAUACAGUGCGAGGGCCGCGUGCACUGCCUCGACGACGAGCCCGGCGUGCACCGGGUGUGGGUGCCCCACCGGGAUGCGCCGGGGCUGGCCAUGUCGCGGGCCUUCGGCGACUACUGCGUCAAGGACUACGGCGUCAUCUCGGCGCCGGAGGUGACGCAGAGGAGGAUCACCGCCCGAGACCAGUUCGUCAUCCUGGCCACCGACGGGGUAAGCGACAGAUUCUUGCACAGUCACAAAGUAUUUCUACUUCCAGCACAGCAGACUGAUCAUUCAUGGCAACAUCUUGGGCAGGUCUGGGACGUGCUCUCCAACGAGGAGGCCGUGCGGAUCGUGGCGGCCACGCCGGACAGGGAGAAGGCGGCGAAGCGGCUCGUCGAGUGCGCCGUCCGCGGGUGGAGGCGCAAGCGGCGGGGCGUCGCCGUCGACGACUGCUCGGCGGUCUGCCUCUUCUUCCACUCGCCGGCGCCCUGA